CAGACUCAGGGAUGAUAGGCUGGAGAGCAGUCUGGCAGAAAGGGAUCUUGGGGUUCUGGUCAAUGACAAGAUAAAUAUGAGUCAACAGUGUGCCCUGGUAGCCACAAGGGCCAGCCAUACCCUGCUUGCCAGCUGAGGGAAAGAAUUAGCCUGCUCUCCUUUGCACUGGUACAGCCUCACCUUGUUGUCACCGUAUUUUUAGACAGGAAUCUCCUCAGAACAGGAAUUGUUAGAACAAAAGCGAUGGCUCAGGGAGGCAGUAGGAAAAUUUCAGCGUUGCAUCAUCUUACAUACAUGCAGCUGAAGCCAAGCUUGAAAGUUAAGAGCUCAAGAUGUGUUUUUGAAAUUAGAGCUGUCCUCAUUCCUGCUAAAGGCUGAAGAUGCUUCAUCUCUAUGGUUUCCACUUCAGUCCUCAUCUGGAGUCCAUUAAAGAAAUUGAUAAAAC
rnacentral:lncRNA from 1 species